AGAACGAACGCUGGCGGCAUGCCUAACACAUGCAAGUCGAACGCCCCCUUCGGGGGGAGUGGCGCACGGGUGAGUAACGCGUGGGAACCUGCCCCGAGGUGGGGGAUAACCGAUGGAAACGUCGGCUAAUACCGCAUACGUCCUAAGGGAGAAAGAUUUAUCGCCUUGGGAGGGGCCCGCGUCGGAUUAGCUAGUUGGUGGGGUAACGGCCUACCAAGGCGAUGAUCCGUAGCUGGUCUGAGAGGAUGAUCAGCCACACUGGGACUGAGACACGGCCCAGACUCCUACGGGAGGCAGCAGUGGGGAAUAUUAGACAAUGGGCGCAAGCCUGAUCCAGCAAUGCCGCGUGAGUGAUGAAGGCCUUAGGGUUGUAAAGCUCUUUCGCCCGCGACGAUGAUGACGGUAGCGGGAGAAGAGCCCGGCUAACUUCGCGCCAGCAGCCGC
rnacentral:rRNA from 1 species